rfam:Solanum lycopersicum cultivar Heinz 1706 chromosome 1, whole genome shotgun sequence.
GUCUAGGUAACAUAAUAGAAAUGUAUCGGACUGCAAAUCCUGAAAUGACGGUUCGACUCCGUCCUUGCGCU